GAUGAACGCUGGCGGCGUGCCUAAUACAUGCAAGUCGAGCGAACGGACGAGAAGCUUGCUUCUCUGAUGUUAGCGGCGGACGGGUGAGUAACACGUGGAUAACCUACCUAUAAGACUGGGAUAACUUCGGGAAACCGGAGCUAAUACCGGAUAAUAUUUUGAACCGCAUGGUUCAAAAGUGAAAGACGGUCUUGCUGUCACUUAUAGAUGGAUCCGCGCUGCAUUAGCUAGUUGGUAAGGUAACGGCUUACCAAGGCAACGAUGCAUAGCCGACCUGAGAGGGUGAUCGGCCACACUGGAACUGAGACACGGUCCAGACUCCUACGGGAGGCAGCAGUAGGGAAUCUUCCGCAAUGGGCGAAAGCCUGACGGAGCAACGCCGCGUGAGUGAUGAAGGUCUUCGGAUCGUAAAACUCUGUUAUUAGGGAAGAACAUAUGUGUAAGUAACUGUGCACAUCUUGACGGUACCUAAUCAGAAAGCCACGGCUAACUACGUGCCAGCAGCCGCGGUAAUACGUAGGUGGCAAGCGUUAUCCGGAAUUAUUGGGCGUAAAGCGCGCGUAGGCGGUUUUUUAAGUCUGAUGUGAAAGCCCACGGCUCAACCGGGGAGGGUCAUUGGGAACUGGAAAACUUGAGUGCAGAAGAGGAAAGUGGAAUUCCAUGUGUAGCGGUGAAAUGCGCAGAGAUAUGGAGGAACACCAGUGGCGAAGGCGACUUUCUGGUCUGUAACUGACGCUGAUGUGCGAAAGCGUGGGGAUCAAACAGGAUUAGAUACCCUGGUAGUCCACGCCGUAAACGAUGAGUGCUAAGUGUUAGGGGGUUUCCGCCCCUUAGUGCUGCAGCUAACGCAUUAAGCACUCCGCCUGGGGAGUACGACCGCAAGGUUGAAACUCAAAGGAAUUGACGGGGACCCGCACAAGCGGUGGAGCAUGUGGUUUAAUUCGAAGCAACGCGAAGAACCUUACCAAAUCUUGACAUCCUUUGACAACUCUAGAGAUAGAGCCUUCCCCUUUGGGGGACAAAGUGACAGGUGGUGCAUGGUUGUCGUCAGCUCGUGUCGUGAGAUGUUGGGUUAAGUCCCGCAACGAGCGCAACCCUUAAGCUUAGUUGCCAUCAUUAAGUUGGGCACUCUAAGUUGACUGCCGGUGACAAACCGGAGGAAGGUGGGGAUGACGUCAAAUCAUCAUGCCCCUUAUGAUUUGGGCUACACACGUGCUACAAUGGACAAUACAAAGGGCAGCGAAACCGCGAGGUCAAGCAAAUCCCAUAAAGUUGUUCUCAGUUCGGAUUGUAGUCUGCAACUCGACUACAUGAAGCUGGAAUCGCUAGUAAUCGUAGAUCAGCAUGCUACGGUGAAUACGUUCCCGGGUCU
rnacentral:rRNA from 1 species